GAAAAUCAAAAUAGGGACACCUAAACUAAAAUAAGAAUUAGAAAGGAGAUAAAAAUGCAAAUCUGAUCCAUAUAGUGUUGCGCUAUUUUCUUGCCCAUAAAGGCAUCUUUAUCUUGCCUUUAAAGGGAGGUUUGUUUUUAGAAAAUAAUUCAAAAAAUACAAACACUUGCAGUUCACUGUUUCAUUGAAUUUUUUUUCUUUCCUUUGAUUUCUGAAGCCUUCAACCUCUGAGAUAAUUUUUGAAUAGCUUGAGGUUGAAAUGGAUUAAGCUUGGUAUUAUUUCAUGUGUUUUAGAAGGGAUUUUGGUUUGAAGUUUGUUGAAGUUGCUAUUUCAUUGAAUUAUUUUAGUGAUUUCCUCAAUUUCUAAUUCGUGAAAUAGUUUUUGAGUUAUCUUGGCUGAGCUGAUUUGAGUCUGGUGUUUUAAAAAUUGAUUUGAAGUUUUGGUUGUGGACUUUUGAUUGUUGCGCAUCAGUGUUGGUUUAAAGUUAUUUUUUGGUUUAUUUAUGUUGUUGGAUACUGUUGUUGCUACUGCUGAAUCUUACCCCCUUUCACUUUCAAUUACAGGUAUGAUUCAACACUUCAGAACGUGAGAAAUGUGAAGGAUAGCUCUGAAGUUGAUAAUGAAGGAAUUGCUCAUUUGUGUUCCUGCAUAAAUUAAUAUAAUUAUUUGAGCAAUAUUGUAUUUAGUCACGGAUAUGCAAUGAUCUUUAGGUUUUGCGCAUGAAUUUUGGUUUAUUAUUUUAGUUCUAGUCUAAUCGAACUCCUCUUCAAGUAUUUAUGUAUUGAGACUGUUAUGAUAGGGAUGUGAUAGAUACUGUUGUGAACCUAUGUAGUAAUUUGAAUUCUGCACCCUUU
rnacentral:lncRNA from 1 species